rnacentral:rRNA from 1 species
CUGAGACUUUAGGUCUCCUGAAGGAACGUUGAAGACGACGACGUUGAUAGGCCGGGUGUGUAAGCGCAGCGAUGCGUUGAGCUAACCGGUACUAAUGAACCGUGAGGCUUAACCUUACAACGCCAAAG